rnacentral:rRNA from 1 species
GUAGGCGUAGCGAAAGCGAGUCUGAAUAGGGCGAAUGAGUACGUAGCAUUAGACCCGAAGGCAGAUGAUCUAUGCAUGAGCAGGCUGAAGGUGGGGUAACACCCACUGGAGGGCCGAACCGUUGCACGUUGAAAAGUGCUCGGAUGACUUGUGCCUAGGGGUGAAAGGCCAAUCAAAUCUGCUGAUAGCUGGUUCUCCGCGAAAUCUAUUUAGGUAGAGCGUCAGACGAAUACCUUCGGGGGUAGAGCACUGAAUGGGCUAGGGGGCCUUACCGGCUUACCAAACCUAAUCAAACUCCGAAUACCGAAGAGUACUAUCUGGCAGACAGACUACGGGUGCUAAGGUCCGUGGUCGAGAGGGAAACAGCCCAGACCGCCAGUUAAGGUCCCAAAGUUGUGGCUAAGUGGGAAAGGAUGUAGGACGGCCAAGACAACCAGGACGUUGGCUUAGAAGCAGCCAUCGUUUAAAGAAAGCGUAACAGCUCACUGGUCUA